CUCUUUCAAAUAACAGCUUUAUUGAGAUAUAGUUCACAUAAAAUGAAAUUCAUCUUGUAAGAGAAUACAAUUCUGUGGUUUUUAGAAUAGUCAGAGUUGCACAACCAUCACUGCUGUUUAAUUUGAGAACAUUUUCAUCACCCCCCAGGAAAUCCCAUAUCCAUUAGCAGUCACUCUUCAUACAUCCCCAGAAACCACUAAUUUACUUUCUACCUCUGUGAAUCUGCCUAUUCUGAACUUUUAUAGAAAUGAAAUCGUAUAAUAUGUGGCCUUUUGUGACUGGCUUCUUUCACCAAGCAUAAUGUUUUCACGCUUAGUCCAUUUUGUAACAUGCAUUAGUAUUUCAUUCACUUUAUUCAUUUAUUCAUGGGUGAAUAAUAGUCCAUUGUGUGGGUAUGCCACGUUUUAUUUAUUAGUUGAAUUGAUGUUCACGGACGUUUGGGUUAUGCCCACUUUUUGGCUAGUUGGAAUACUGCUGCUGUGAAUAUUUGUGUAUAUGUUUUUGUGGAGCCAUGUAUUUUCAGUUCUUUUAGGUACAGACCUAGGAGGAGAAUUGCUGGGUCAUAUGUUAACCCCAUAUUUAACACUUGGAGGAACUACCAGACUGUUUUCCAAAGUAGCUUCACCAUUUUCCAAUCCACCUCCAAAAACUCUUAUGGCUUAUGCUGGCCGAAAUGGGUUUGCAGAUGCUGACAAUUUAUUGGAGCUUCAAGCCCAAUUUGGUCCAAAGUCUCAGAGGAACACUCAGUUUGAAUUACGGGAUUGGAUUUAACAUUGCUCAAAAAGGCCUUCUAUUGGGAGGCCGAGAUUGCAGACGGAGUCUCG
rnacentral:lncRNA from 10 species